rnacentral:rRNA from 1 species
GAUGAACGCUAGCUACAGGCCUAACACAUGCAAGUCGAGGGGCAGCGGUAUCGAAAGCUUGCUUUCGGUAGCCGGCGACCGGCGCACGGGUGAGUAACGCGUAUCGAACCUGCCUCAUACUCGGGAAUAGCCUUGCGAAAGUAAGAUUAAUGCCCGGUGUUUUCAGAGUCCCGCAUGAGGCUUUGAACAAAGAUUUAUCGGUAUGAGAUGGCGAUGCGUCCCAUUAGCUUGUUGGCGGGGUAACGGCCCACCAAGGCAUCGAUGGGUAGGGGUUCUGAGAGGAAGGUCCCCCACAUUGGAACUGAGACACGGUCCAAACUCCUACGGGAGGCAGCAGUGAGGAAUAUUGGUCAAUGGGCGGAAGCCUGAACCAGCCAAGUAGCGUGCAGGAAGACGGCCCUCCGGGUUGUAAACUGCUUUUAGUUGGGAAUAAAACGGGGCUCGUGAGCCCCCUUGCAUGUACCAUCAGAAAAAGGACCGGCUAAUUCCGUG